UGUGUUUCGACACACUAUCAUUAACUGAAUCCAUAGGUUAAUGAGGCGAACCGGGGGAACUGAAACAUCUAAGUACCCCGAGGAAAAGAAAUCAACCGAGAUUCCCCCAGUAGCGGCGAGCGAACGGGGAGGAGCCCAGAGCCUGAAUCAGUGUGUGUGUUAGUGGAAGCGUCUGGAAAGGCGCGCGAUACAGGGUGACAGCCCCGUACACAAAAAUGCACAUACUGUGAGCUCGAUGAGUAGGGCGGGACACGUGGUAUCCUGUCUGAAUAUGGGGGGACCAUCCUCCAAGGCUAAAUACUCCUGACUGACCGAUAGUGAACCAGUACCGUGAGGGAAAGGCGAAAAGAACCCCGGCGAGGGGAGUGAAAAAGAACCUGAAACCGUGUACGUACAAGCAGUGGGAGCCUCUUUUAUGGGGUGACUGCGUACCUUUUGUAUAAUGGGUCAGCGACUUAUAUUCUGUAGCAAGGUUAACCGAAUAGGGGAGCCGAAGGGAAACCGAGUCUUAACUGGGCGUUAAGUUGCAGGGUAUAGACCCGAAACCCGGUGAUCUAGCCAUGGGCAGGUUGAAGGUUGGGUAACACUAACUGGAGGACCGAACCGACUAAUGUUGAAAAAUUAGCGGAUGACUUGUGGCUGGGGGUGAAAGGCCAAUCAAACCGGGAGAUAGCUGGUUCUCCCCGAAAGCUAUUUAGGUAGCGCCUCGUGAAUUCAUCUCCGGGGGUAGAGCACUGUUUCGGCAAGGGGGUCAUCCCGACUUACCAACCCGAUGCAAACUGCGAAUACCGGAGAAUGUUAUCACGGGAGACACACGGCGGGUGCUAACGUCCGUCGUGAAGAGGGAAACAACCCAGACCGCCAGCUAAGGUCCCAAAGUCAUGGUUAAGUGGGAAACGAUGUGGGAAGGCCCAGACAGCCAGGAUGUUGGCUUAGAAGCAGCCAUCAUUUAAAGAAAGCGUAAUAGCUCACUGGUCGAGUCGGCCUGCGCGGAAGAUGUAACGGGGCUAAACCAUGCACCGAAGCUGCGGCAGCGACGCUUAUGCGUUGUUGGGUA
rnacentral:rRNA from 1 species